rnacentral:rRNA from 1 species
AACGAACGCUGGCGGCAUGCCUAACACAUGCAAGUCGAACGAGACCUUCGGGUCUAGUGGCGCACGGGUGCGUAACGCGUGGGAACCUGCCCUUAGGUUCGGAAUAACUCCCCGAAAGGGGUGCUAAUACCGGAUAAUGUCUUCGGACCAAAGAUUUAUCGCCUUUGGAUGGGCCCGCGUUGGAUUAGCUAGUUGGUAGGGUAAAAGCCUACCAAGGCGACGAUCCAUAGCUGGUCUGAGAGGAUGAUCAGCCACACUGGGACUGAGACACGGCCCAGACUCCUACGGGAGGCAGCAGUAGGGAAUAUUGGACAAUGGGCGAAAGCCUGAUCAAGCAAUGCCGCGUGAGUGAUGAAGGCCUUAGGGUUGUAAAGCUCUUUUACCCGGGAUGAUAAUGACAGUACCGGGAGAAUAAGCUCCGGCUAACUCCGUG